rnacentral:rRNA from 1 species
GACGAACGCUGGCGGCGUGCCUAAUACAUGCAAGUCGAACGCAGUGGGGACGGGUGAGUAACACGUGGGUAACCUCCCAUCAGAGGGGAUAACACUUGGAAACAGGUGCUAAACCGAUACUGAUGGAUGGACCCGGGGUGCAUUAGCUAGUUGGUGAGGUAACGGCUCACCAAGGCAACGAGGCAUAGGCGACCUGAGAGGGGGAUCGGCGACACGGGGACUGAGACACGGCCCAGAGGCCUACGGGAGGCAGCAGUAGGGAAUCUGCGGCAAUGGACGAAAGCCUGACCGAGCAACGCCGGGUGAGUGAAGAAGGUUUUCGGAUCGUAAAACUCUGUUGUUAGAGAAGCGGUAUCUAACCAGAAAGCCACGGCUAACUACGUGCCAGCAGCCGCGUAAUUC